GGUGGUUCUUGGGUGAUGCACUCUGGAAUCGGGCUCCCUCCUCUCUCAUUACAGGGUGUGUCACCCGAGAACCACC
rfam:Myotis brandtii contig237679, whole genome shotgun sequence.